GCCGAAGUGGCGGAAUUGGUAGACGCAGGAGACUCAAAAUCUCCCGAAAUUUACUUUCGUGCCGGUUCAAGUCCGGCCUUCGGUA
rnacentral:tRNA from 1 species